rnacentral:rRNA from 1 species
UUAAAGAAAUUUUAAUUUUAAGUCAAAUNUGCUCUAUGAAUAAAUUUAAAUGGCUGCAGUAAAUUAACUGUACUAAGGUAGCAUAAUAAUUUGUUUUUUAAUUAAAAACUGGAAUGAAAGAUUAAAUGAAAUAAAAACUGUUUCUUUUAAAUAAAUUAAAUUUUUUAUUUAAGUAAGAAAACUUAAAUAAAUUAUAAAGACGAUAAGACCCUGUAAAAUUUUAUUUUUUUUUACAAAUAAUUUUUGUAAAAAAAAAUUUUAUUGGGGUAAUAAAAAAAUUAAAAUAAUUUUUUUUUAAUAUAACAUAAAUUAAUGAAUUUUUUAUCUUAAUAUUUAAAUUAAAAAAAUUAAUUACUUCAGGGAUAACAGCAUAAUUUUUUUUAAAANAUCUUAUUAAUAAAAAANAUUAU